rnacentral:rRNA from 1 species
GAUGAACGCUGGCGGCGUGCCUAAUACAUGCAAGUCGAGCGAACGGACGAGAAGCUUGCUUCUCUGAUGUUAGCGGCGGACGGGUGAGUAACACGUGGAUAACCUACCUAUAAGACUGGGAUAACUUCGGGAAACCGGAGCUAAUACCGGAUAAUAUUUUGAACCGCAUGGUUCAAAAGUGAAAGACGGUCUUGCUGUCACUUAUAGAUGGAUCCGCGCUGCAUUAGCUAGUUGGUAAGGUAACGGCUUACCAAGGCAACGAUGCAUAGCCGACCUGAGAGGGUGAUCGGCCACACUGGAACUGAGACACGGUCCAGACUCCUACGGGAGGCAGCAGCAGGGAAUCUUCCGCAAUGGGCGAAAGCCUGACGGAGCAACGCCGAGUGAGUGAUGAAGGUCUUCGGAUCGUAAAACUCUGUUAUUAGGGAAGAACAUAUGUGUAAGUAACUGUGCACAUCUUGACGGUACCUAAUCAGAAAGCCACGGCUAACUACGUG